UUUGGCACAAAAAUCUAACUCCUCCCACACAAUCCACAUGCCAAAUUAAAAAAAUAUCUGAUAGAUGACUGAUCCGGUUGCCGCGGAAUAGCCCGUAUUGCUUGUAUUGGUGGGAUUCAUAUUGGUUUGCUGGAUAAUUUUUGCCACCUUUUCAGUAUGCUGUAAUUUAAAAAAAGCGUCCACCUCCGACGACCACCGCAUUCACCAUCGAGAUGGACGAAGAAAGGCACAAGGAGGAGGAGGACGAGAAAUACGAGAGGAACAAGGUGGACGAAGAGGACGAGGAUUUGUGCACGUAUUCAAGGUAUAACCCAAGGUGGUUGGCUGUGGUCGUUGGCGGUGGUUGGCAGUGGUUGGAGGUGGUCGGAGGAGAACGAAGAGAACAAAUACGAUGCGGAGAACAAGGCUGAGUAAGAGGUGAAAAGGGACGAGGUGGUAGAGGGUACCAGGUGGUGUUAGAAGGUUGGGAGGUUUCUUUCCUGUUGGCCUACGCUCUUUUCGCUGCGUUUUCUGAGUUCCUGAGGGUCCAAUUAGUCAGCAGGUGCUUUUUUGCUCGCCAUUUCUCUCCUGUUGGUGCUACACUCUUUUCGCUGCAUUUUCUGAGUUCCUGAGGGUCCAAUUAGUCAGAUGAGGAUCAUUCAGAUCGAAUCUGGGACCAAAAAUUUUCGGCUACAAAAAUGAAGAAAAAGUAAGGCUAACCUCUUCUAAUUCUCUCUUCUAAUUUUUGUAUCCCGAGAACUUGAAUAGAAAUAUAGAACUAGGCUAAGGUUUUGGACUUAAGACAUUGUUUAUUGUUCAUUUUGUAAUAAUG
rnacentral:lncRNA from 1 species